rnacentral:rRNA from 1 species
GAUGAACGCUGGCGGCGUGCCUAAUACAUGCAAGUCGAGCGAACAGAUGAGGAGCUUGCUCCUCUGACGUUAGCGGCGGACGGGUGAGUAACACGUGGAUAACCUACCUAUAAGACUGGGAUAACUUCGGGAAACCGGAGCUAAUACCGGAUAAUAUAUCGAACCGCAUGGUUCAAUAGUGAAAGACGGUUUUGCUGUCACUUAUAGAUGGAUCCGCGCCGCAUUAGCUAGUUGGUAAGGUAACGGCUUACCAAGGCGACGAUGCGUAGCCGACCUGAGAGGAUGAUCGGCCACACUGGAACUGAGACACGGUCCAGACUCCUACGGGAGGCAGCAGUAGGGAAUCUUCCGCAAUGGGCGAAAGCCUGACGGAGCAACGCCGCGUGAGUGAUGAAGGUCUUCGGAUCGUAAAACUCUGUUAUUAGGGAAGAACAAAUGUGUAAGUAACUAUGCACGUCUUGACGGUACCUAAACAGAAAGCCACGGCUAACUACGUG